rnacentral:rRNA from 1 species
GACGAACGCUGGCGGCGCGCCUAACACAUGCAAGUCGAACGAGAGAUGAGGAGCUUGCUCUUCAAAUCGAGUGGCGAACGGGUGAGUAACGCGUGAGGAACCUGCCUCAAAGAGGGGGACAACAGUUGGAAACGACUGCUAAUACCGCAUAAGCCCACGGCUCGGCAUCGAGCAGAGGGAAAAGGAGCAAUCCGCUUUGAGAUGGCCUCGCGUCCGAUUAGCUAGUUGGUGAGGUAACGGCCCACCAAGGCGACGAUCGGUAGCCGGCCUGAGAGGAUGAACGGCCACAUUGGGACUGAGAUACGGCCCAGACUCCUACGGGAGGCAGCAGUGGGGAAUAUUGGGCGAAUGGGGGAAACCCUGACCCAGCAACGCCGCGU